GUCGAAAAUCGACUUUUAGAUCGCAGUACUUUCAACACCUAUAAAAUACCAGAAAAAUAAAAUAAGAAAUAAUACAACUGCUGCACGUAAUAUAAUUACUUUACAUUCGUUCAAAAACAAACUGACAUUCGCAAUUUACAUCUUUACAACAAUAACAAGUAAUUAGGUAACAUACAAAAUGGCUCGUGGUCACCAAAAGAUUCAGUCACAAGCAAAAGCGCAGGAAAAACAAGCUAAAAUGAAGAAACAACAAGGACAUAGCGCUACUGAUCAAAAGAAAGCUGCCCAAAAAGCUCUUGUGCAUGUUUGUGCCGUAUGUAAAUCUCAAAUGCCUGAUCCAAAGACGUACAAACAACACUUUGAGAAUAAACAUCCCAAAAAUGAAAUGCCACCAGAAUUGAAGGACGUUUAAAAUUAUUCAAAUUGUGUUCUUUUUUACAAACAAAAUUAAAAUAGACGCGCGCCCGCCUCCGACUUGAGGAUUAUUGCUAGCAGCUUGCUGUAUAAUCAAUCUUAAAUUUAAGUGAAACGGAGAUGUUACUCUUAGAAGUACACAAAUACUUCGAUAUACAUAUAACGAAGGUUUACAACUAACUACUCUUAAUGUAAAUUGUGUGUGAUGGCAACCGGAAUUUUUAACUCAAAUUGUUUCCUUCAUAUUGAAAUCACCUCAUCACACAUUUUUCAUAAAUGAUAAUGUAAUAUUUUUUUUAAAUACAUAGAUACGUUGAAACGAAA